rnacentral:piRNA from 2 species
GCGAUGGUGGUGUAAUGGUCAGCAUAGU